UGGUUCUUGGCCUAUAAAAGCCACUUCCUGUCUCUGUACCUUUGCCAGAUUAUUGUGGUUCCUGUACUCUCUAAUCCAGCGUGUUCCUGUUUCUCCUUCCUGUUGCUGAAUUUGGAUUGUUUUGACUUUGCUGCUUCUCCUUCCCACUGACCUCGGCUUGCCUCACUACGAUUAUCAUCUUUCUGUUCCAGUCUCCCAUCUCUGCUUAAGACCAGAAGGCCACUCAAGGCUCAGGGGCUCAACCACCUGGGUAACGAGUGGCUACCUCUGGCAGAAAACAUUGCUGAUCUGGCUACUGGACUCCAAAACUUUGUAACAUCAAUAUCAUUACACUUCUAUUUACAAGACAUGCUUACGUCACCUGACUGGGUAGACUCCACACACAUGACCAUUAACCCUCUC